ensembl:snRNA U6 U6 spliceosomal RNA
GCGCUUGCUGCGGCAGCACAUACACUACAAUUGGAACGAUACAGAGAAGAUUAGCACAGCCCCUGCGCAAGGAU